rnacentral:rRNA from 1 species
UACAGAGGGUGCGAGCGUUAAUCGGAAUUACUGGGCGUAAAGCGCGCGUAGGCGGCUUUGCAAGCCGGAUGUGAAAUCCCUGGGCUUAACCUGGGAACUGCAUUCGGGACUGCAUGGCUAGAGUAUGGGAGAGGGAAGUGGAAUUUCAGGUGUAGCGGUGAAAUGCGUAGAUAUCUGAAGGAACAUCAGUGGCGAAAGCGACUUCCUGGACCAAUACUGACGCUCAUGUGCGAAAGCGUGGGGAGCAAACAGG